GUGCUCACUUCGGCAGCACAUAUACUAAAAUUGGAAUGACACAAAGAAGAUUAGCAUGGCCCUGUACAAUGAUGGCAUGCAAAUUCAUAAAGCAUUCUAUAUUGAA